rnacentral:rRNA from 1 species
UACGUAGGGGGCAAGCGUUGUCCGGAAUUAUUGGGCGUAAAGAGCGUGUAGGCGGUCUGGUAAGUCGGCUGUGAAAGUCCAGGGCUCAACCCUGGGAUGCCGGUCGAUACUGCCGGACUAGAGUUCGGAAGAGGCGAGUGGAAUUCCCGGUGUAGCGGUGAAAUGCGCAGAUAUCGGGAGGAACACCUAUGGCGAAGGCAGCUCGCUGGGACGUUACUGACGCUGAGACGCGAAAGCGUGGGGAGCGAACAGG